AUUGAACGCUGGCGGCAGGCCUAACACAUGCAAGUCGAGCGAGCGGAGGACGGGUGAGUAAAGUCUGGGAAACCGCCUGAUGGAGGGGGAUAACUACCCGAAACGUGAGCUAAUACCGCACACACUCAGAUGUGCCCACAUGGGAUUAGCGAGUAGGUGGGGUAACGGCUCACUUAGGCGACGAUCCCUAGCUGGUCUGAGAGGAUGACCAGCCACACUGGAACUGAGACACGGUCCAGACUCCUACGGGAGGCAGCAGUGGGAAAUAUCGCACAAUGGGCGCAAGCCUGAUGCAGCCAUGCCGCGUGUGUGAAGAAGGCCUUCGGGUUGUAAAGCACUUUCAGCGGGGAGGCGUUACCCGCAGAAGAAGCACCGGCUAACUCCGUGCCAGCAGCCGCGGUAAUAC
rnacentral:rRNA from 1 species